CGAGAAUGAAGAAGUAGAAUUGGAAGAAUUUUAUGAUUACAGCAGCAGUUACGUUGAUGGAAGUGGCAACCAGCUCGUACCGGCAGGGGCUCGAGACAAUUCUGUCGAGUUUGGUAGUGGUGGAGCUGAGCUCAUCUUAGUUCAAGGAACCAGCGAGCAGAAAUCGAUCAAAACACUUGGUUCCAGGCAAUUUCUGCGUUAUUAUCGCCAAAAACCACGACCAUCUCCUGCAAAUGAUGCAGCCAUGACUGCUGUAUUGGCAGCAAGGUACAGGAGCAUGGGAUUGGCAACAGUCCAGUCAAGAGAAAAGAUGAUCAGGAUGAAGGUAAUGAAAGAAAUGAAUAGAACUGGGUUGGAAGCUAUGCGAACCAAAAUCGGAUUGAAGAACAACGUAAUCCGAAACCUUCCUAAGAAUGUUCCAUAUUAGAUUGGUAUUUUAGUAGCCUUACAUUACAUUACGUUGUCUUUAAAAUCCAAAUGCUUAUGAUGGAAGAAUAAUCG
rnacentral:misc_RNA from 1 species